CGGAGCAUGGCUCAGUUUGGUAGAGCGCCUGGUUCGGGACCAGGAGGCCGUGGGUUCAAAUCCCGCUGCUCCGACCA
rnacentral:tRNA from 3 species